AUUGAACGCUGGCGGCAGGCUUAACACAUGCAAGUCGAGCGGUAGCACAGGGGAGCUUGCUCCCUGGGUGACGAGCGGCGGACGGGUGAGUAAUGUCUGGGAAACUGCCUGAUGGAGGGGGAUAACUACUAGAAACGGUAGCUAAUACCGCAUAACGUCGCAAGACCAAAGAGGGGGACCUUCGGGCCUCUUGCCAUCAGAUGUGCCCAGAUGGGAUUAGCUAGUAGGUGGGGUAAUGGCUCACCUAGGCGACGAUCCCUAGCUGGUCUGAGAGGAUGACCAGCCACACUGGAACUGAGACACGGUCCAGACUCCUACGGGAGGCAGCAGUGGGGAAUAUUGCACAAUGGGCGCAAGCCUGAUGCAGCCAUGCCGCGUGUGUGAAGAAGGCCUUCGGGUUGUAAAGCACUUUCAGCGAGGAGGAAGGUGGUGAGCUUAAUACGUUCAUCAAUUGACGUUACUCGCAGAAGAAGCACCGGCUAACUCCGUG
rnacentral:rRNA from 1 species